rnacentral:rRNA from 1 species
GCAAGUCGAACGAGAAGCGGGCUUCGGCCCGUGGACAGUGGCGAAAGGGUGAGUAACGCGUUCCUUACGUACCCCGAGGUGGGGGAUAGGUCGGAGAAAUCCGGCGUAAUACCCCAUGAACUCUACGGAGAAAAGGCUUCGGCCGCCUCGGGAGCGGGGAGCGUCCCAUCAGGUUGUUGGUGAGGUAAAGGCUCACCAAGCCAAAGACGGGUAGCGGGUGUGAGAGCAUGGCC